ACCCUGAGCCCGCCCUUCUGCUGAGCCUCCACCCUGGGACUGGCUCCCUUCCCAGCUCUCUCUUGUGCUUGCAAAUCUGUCUCUGUCUCCGUGCAAACCCCACGUUUUUCAAGGAUCCAUCCUGGUCCUGAUGCCUUUGCCACCAAGCCUGCUAGGAGAGGGUUGUCCGUUCACACACUUUCUGAUUCUCUUCAGACCUUCAUCGGAAGAGCUCAUUCAAAGCAUUUUGACUUUUGCUGUCUCACCUGCUCUUUUGCAUUCUUUUGAGGAUGGGGCAAGGGUCGGUUCCUGCAAUUAUUGAUUUAGAGAGAGGCCCAGAGAGAGACUGAAGCACUGAGUGGUCCUGGAAGGGAGUGGGACCAGCUCACACAGGCUGCAUACAGGGGCAGCCACUCUCACUGAGACCACCCACCCUGCGCCCCCUCCCUGCUGCACUCCCAGCCCCACAUGCAUUAUUGCAUUUCAUCUACAUAAGCACUGUGCCAGAUGCCACCGAGCUUCCCCUACGACACCCUUACUUCACCCAGGUCUCUGCUCUAAUGCCACCCCCGCAGAUGAGGCUGCUUUAGAUAAAGUGCUCGGUCUCAAACAGCUCUCUGUUACUUUCUGUCCCCUCACCCAUCUUUAUCUUUCUCUGGACCUCUGUCACUGCCGGAUAUUGUAUAUGCACUUACUUGUCUAGCUGCUGCUAGUGUCUGUAUGGGGUCAGGGACUCAGACUGUUUUGCUCACUGCCCUGCCUUCCUGGUGCAUGGUGGGCACUUAAUAAAUACCUGUGGAGGGACAGAAAGGAGGGAGGGAUGGUGGGAGGAAAGAAGGAAAGAAGAGAAGAAGAAGGCUGAAUUUUGGCUUGAAACUACAACACUCAUGUUUGGCCAGGUUGCCAGCAGUGACAGGCAAUAAUCCCGCCUACAAUGGAAAACCAGGCACGAGGUGGCCUUGUUCAGGAUUCUACCCUAAACCACUAGUAGAUUUGGGACUAAACCACCAAAUUCUCUGACUAACAAGCUAAGUCACUGCCAAUUUUCCUAGCAGUGGCUUCCUACAGCCUGCAAAUUCUUUCUAGGAGCCAUUUGACUAAGCUUCUCGAAACUUACUUCCUGUGUGCUGCAAAUUCUUGCCCAGAUGUCACUAGGCCAACUCCCUACGCUUUGGUGGCUCCUGGAAGCAGAAGGUGCCAAGCCUGUGCAGUUGACCCAUGUGUCAUCCAGACAGAACCCGGUAACCCUCACGGCCUUCCCUCUGGUCCCUCUCCAGAUCCACACAUUU